UUUUGACCAAAUAGGUAAUAAAAUAAAAAUAGGAUGAUAUCAUCCCUUUUUCAUCUUCUCUCCACCGAUUUUUCCAGCCAAGAAAUGGGUUUUGAAAGCUUCAUAUUUUCAGCAACUUUGAGGCUUAGCAAAUCGUUGACUCUUACUAUUAGCACGGGGAUCGUCAGCACUUCGUCACACUAUCUACUAUUGUGGUUAUCAUGUGUUUUGGACUUAGUUUAUGGCAUGUAUAGGUUAGACUAUAAGUAGAAUGAUAUUUUGACUAUUGUAUAUAAGCCAUGCGAAUAUGGCAUCUUAUAGAAGUUUACUUUUAUAAGUUUUAAAUUCGAUCUUUGUUUGUAUCUAUUAGUUAUAUAUAUAAAUGAUCUUUUAUUUAAGAAAAA